rfam:Sus scrofa chromosome 15.
AGGAAAGGAACCUCAGUCCUGGGGUUGGGGUUGUGAUGAAGGAGGAUCGACUCCCCAAAGUGAGGGAGGGACGUUUCCA